AUACGUAGGGGGCAAGCGUUAUCCGGAUUUACUGGGUGUAAAGGGAGCGUAGACGGCGAAGCAAGUCUGGAGUGAAAACCCAGGGCUCAACCCUGGGACUGCUUUGGAAACUGUUUUGCUAGAGUGUCGGAGAGGUAAGUGGAAUUCCUAGUGUAGCGGUGAAAUGCGUAGAUAUUAGGAGGAACACCAGUGGCGAAGGCGGCUUACUGGACGAUAACUGACGUUGAGGCUCGAAAGCGUGGGGAGC
rnacentral:rRNA from 1 species